rnacentral:rRNA from 1 species
ACGAACGCUGGCGGCGUGCCUAAUACAUGCAAGUUGAGCGCUGAAGGUUGGUACUUGUACCAACUGGAUGAGCAGCGAACGGGUGAGUAACGCGUGGGGAAUCUGCCUUUGAGCGGGGGACAACAUUUGGAAACGAAUGCUAAUACCGCAUAAAAACUUUAAACACAAGUGUUAAGUUUGAAAGAUGCAAUUGCAUCACUCAAAGAUGAUCCCGCGUUGUAUUAGCUAGUUGGUGAGGUAAAGGCUCACCAAGGCGAUGAUACAUAGCCGACCUGAGAGGGUGAUCGGCCACAUUGGGACUGAGACACGGCCCAAACUCCUACGGGAGGCAGCAGUAGGGAAUCUUCGGCAAUGGACGAAAGUCUGACCGAGCAACGCCGCGUGAGUGAAGAAGGUUUUCGGAUCGUAAAACUCUGUUGGUAGAGAAGAACGUUGGUGAGAGUGGAAAGCUCAUCAAGUGACGGUAACUACCCAGAAAGGGACGGCUAACUACGU